UCUCAGUGAUUCGUUUCCAGUACAGCCUCUGACCCUCUGAUGUGGACUCGGUGCCAGGGAGAUGAAGAGGAAAGCGCCCGAGAGA